rfam:Dipodomys ordii contig_3870, whole genome shotgun sequence.
GGUGGCUCAGUGGUAGAGUGCUUGCCUCAUAUGCAUGAGGGCCUGGGUUCAAUUCCUCAGCACCA